CAAAAUUAUUAGAAAAAAAAAUUAGCAAAUGAAUCUUGAAGGAAGCUGCUGUAAUUGUCAUCAAAGAUAACUUUCUGUCAUUUUUACAGUAAAAUCUGAGAGAGUAUAGGAGUGGAUCUUGCACAGUUAGGUAAGCAUUCUUGGGAACAAAGAUGUGAAAGCAGAGUUCUCAUGGUUUUGUGCUUGGUCACAGGCGUCCUGCAUUCCUGACUACUUACACUGGCAGCUGCAGGAAGGUACCCUCAGCUUCCUUUUGCUUCUGUUGGCUGGGCAAAAGGCAUCAUGUGCUCGUACUUACUCCAAGGAAUUCAUGUGCUAA
rnacentral:lncRNA from 12 species